rnacentral:rRNA from 1 species
GCUUCAAUUUAAUUAUUUGAGGUAUUGCCUGCUCAAUGCGAAAGUAAAUAGCCGCAGUAUUUUGACUGUGCAAAGGUAGCAUAAUAAAUUGGCCUUUAAUUGGGGUCUGGAAUGAAUGGUUAGACAAGAAUUUAACUGUCUUUAAAUUAGUUUUUUGAAAUUGAAUUGUUUGUAAAAAUGCAUACAUGAAAGAGAGGGACGAAAAGACCCUAUAGAUCUUAUAAAUGUUAAUUUAUUAAUUUUAAUAGGUUGAUUUUUUUAUUUGGGGAAAAUCUUGAAUUGGAAAAUUUCGGUUAAUUUGCAAAAGUGAAAAUGUUGAUUUUUGAUCUAUUUAUAAUAUGAAAAGAUGAAAAAGUUACCUUAGGGAUAACAGGACAAUGAUUUCUUUAAAGAUCUUAUUUAAAGAAGCGUUUGUUACCUCGAUGUUGAAUUAAGUUAUCUUAUUAGAGAAGAAAUUCUUAUAGUUGGUCUGUUCGACCAUUGAAAAC